CGCGUAGGCGGUUGGAUAAGUCAGCUGUGAAAACCACGGGCUUAACUCGUGGCCUGCAGUUGAGACUGUCUGGCUUGAGUGUGGGAGAGGAGAGUGGAAUUCCUGGUGUAGCGGUGAAAUGCGUAGAUAUCAGGAGGAACACCGGUGGCGAAGGCGGCUCUCUGGACCACAACUGACGCUGAGGCGUGAAGCUAGGGAGCAAACA
rnacentral:rRNA from 1 species